UACGUAGGGUGCGAGCGUUGUCCGGAAUUAUUGGGCGUAAAGAGCUUGUAGGCGGUUUGUCGCGUCUGCUGUGAAAAUCCGGGGGCUCAACCCCGGACUUGCAGUGGGUACGGGCAGACUAGAGUGUGGUAGGGGGAGACUGGAAUUCCUGGUGUAGCGGUGGGAAUGCGCAGAAUAUCAGGAGGAACACCCGAUGGCGAAGGCAGGUCUCCUGGGC
rnacentral:rRNA from 1 species